GUUGCCGUUAGCAGUUGUCGCCGUUGUUUGAACAGACAAUAUUCAGCGAAGACACCCGAGCCUCCAUUACGAUUGAAGAAACUUUCACUCGGUCGGUUCUUGACAUCUACACGGCUCUGACCCUGAAAACCAGUGUAGCGUCGCCGGCCGGCCAGCCGGCGCGCUGGUGAACAGCACGCUCUGCGUCCAUCCAUGCAGAACUGACUGUUUACAGAUUGUCAGAGAAUUGAGAAUAUAAAUGGGCUCUCGCUUGCUGCUCUAGCUGUGGUGUGGUAUCAAACGGUCGUGGUCACACUGAGAGGAGGCCGGCGUGUGCCUGGGCGCCUGCGGCAUCAGGAAAGCUUUGGUUUCCCUCCCCUCCGACCACUGACAGCCCGGCGUUCCCCCUUCAAUAAACCCGCAUCCCCUGA